AGAUGUGCUCGUAGAGUAACGAGCAGGGUAAACAAAAGAAAUGCUCACCGAGA
rnacentral:ncRNA from 1 species